GGGGCCGUAGCCCAAUUGGCAGAGGCAUGCGACUUAGGAUCGCACCAGUGUGGGUUCAAGUCCCGCCGGCCCUA
rnacentral:tRNA from 3 species